AAAGAAUUAAUAGAUUCAAGCCUGCUGAUUCCUUGUCAACAGAAGAAACCAGAAGAUUUCACAUGAUUGAAACAACAUUGUGGUCUACAUGAAGAAGAAAUGAUGGGACCAAACAAUCAGGAAGCAGGGAAGCACUGCACCAGCUCCUAACACAAGAGUGCAACAUGUUAUCCACUAGAUAUGACACAACCAGAUUGCCCCUACAGCCAAUGCUUCAGGAAGAAACAGCCUUAUACUCACAGGCCUCUGAGCCCAAGCCAAGCCAUCGCACCCCCUGUGACUUGCACGUAUAUGCCCAGAUGGCCUGAAGUAACUGAAGAAUCACAAAAGAAGUGAAAAUGCCCUGCCCCACCUUAACUGAUGACAUUCCACCACAAAAGAAGUGUAAAUGGCCAGUCCUUGCCUUAACUGAUGACAUUCCACCACAAAAGAAGUGAAAAUGGCCUGUUCCUGCCUUAACUGAUGACAUUAUCUUGUGAAAUUCCUUCUCCUGGCUCAUCCUGGCUCAAAAUCUCCCCUACUGAGCACCUUGUGACCCCCACUCCUGCCCGCCAGAGAACAACCCCCCU
rnacentral:lncRNA from 1 species